UACGUAGGUGGCAAGCGUUGUCCGGAUUUACUGGGCGUAAAGAGCGCGCAGGCGGUCGUUCAAGUCGCGUGUGAAAGCCCCCGGCUCAACUGGGGAGGGUCACGCGAUACUGAUCGACUCGAAGGCAGGAGAGGGUAGUGGAAUUCCCGGUGUAGUGGUGAAAUGCGUAGAUAUCGGGAGGAACACCAGUGGCGAAGGCGGCUCACUGGUCCGGUACUGACGCUGAGGUGCGAAAGCGUGGGGAGCAAACAGG
rnacentral:rRNA from 1 species